rnacentral:rRNA from 1 species
UGGGGAAUAUUGCACAAUGGGCGCAAGCCUGAUGCAGCUAUGCCGCGUGUAUGAAGAAGGCCUUCGGGUUGUAAAGUACUUUCAGCGGGGAGGAAGGUGUUGAGGCUAAUAACCUCAGCAAUUGACGUUACCCGCAGAAGAAGCACCGGCUAACUCCGUGCCAGCAGCCGCGGUAAUACGGAGGGUGCAAGCGUUAAUCGGAAUUACUGGGCGUAAAGCGCACGCAGGCGGUCUGUCAAGUCGGAUGUGAAAUCCCCGGGCUCAACCUGGGAACUGCAUUCGAAACUGGCAGGCUAGAGUCUUGUAGAGGGGGGUAGAAUUCCAGGUGUAGCGGUGAAAUGCGUAGAGAUCUGGAGGAAUACCGGUGGCGAAGGCGGCCCCCUGGACAAAGACUGACGCUCAGGUGCGAAAGCGUGGGGAGCAAACA